AUACGGAGGAUCCGAGCGUUAUCCGGAUUUAUUGGGUUUAAAGGGAGCGUAGGUGGAUAGUUAAGUCAGUUGUGAAAGUUUGCGGCUCAACCGUAAAAUUGCAGUUGAUACUGGCUGUCUUGAGUACAGUAGAGGUGGGCGGAAUUCGUGGGGUAGCGGGGAAAUGCUUAGAUAUCACGAAGAACUCCGAUUGCGAAGGCAGCUCACUGGACUGCAACUGACACUGAUGCUCGAAAGUGUGGGUAUCAAACAGGAUUAGAUACCCUGGUAGUCCACACAGUAAACGAUGAAUACUCGCUGUUUGCGAUAUACAGUAAGCGGCCAAGCGAAAGCAUUAAGUAUUCCACCUGGGGAGUACGCCGGCAACGGUGAAACUCAAAGGAAUUGACGGGG
rnacentral:rRNA from 1 species